CUUCUAUCCAGAGAGGUGGAGGGAACGGCCCUUUGAAACCUCGGCAACCUGGGACGUGUGGUCUUACAGCCAAUGUUACGCUCUAAGGUGCCAAUUCCGGCAGGAUAAAAUCUGGGAGAUAGGAG
rnacentral:ncRNA from 1 species